AAAGGAGUGUGGGAAUGAGUUCCCUGGGAGGAGAGCUGCUGCUGCUGCUCCUGCUCCUCCAUCCUUUUCCAGCCCCAGGAUUCAGCACGGGGAGGCAUCAGCACCUGCUUUCCAGCUCUGCCUGCCCAGAAGAGCUCCUUCCAAAGAGGAAACCAGAAGGAGGGGCACAUAAUGACCAGGCUGAGCACUGGACUGGCUGCUGCUUGCCAGCUCAAGCAUGAAGAGCUUGUGGCAAUGAAAGAGCUUUUCACAAGGGCUCCAUGGGAAUGUGACCUGAAGGAAGCCACAACUGCUGCAAGCAGAGGGACAGACAUGUGGGCUGCAUCCUGGGCAAGCUGCAGCACACAGCCAGGGUUGGAAAGGUGACAGUGAGGGACACAUGCAGCCUGUGCUUGCAGUCUGGAUUCAUCUCCAAGUGCCUGCUUUGCUCUUUGUUUCCUCUGGGAGGACAGGACCCAAGGGCUGUGCUGAUGGAGCCGGGAAGCCUCAUCCUGCCCCAGUACACAGCCUGGCUGGAGGCAAUGCUUGGUGUCUGUUGAGAGCUACAAAGGAAGCUCAUUUGCAGCCUGGGCAAGUGUAAGAGGUGUAAAGCAAGCUGAGGAGCAAGCUUGGGCAGCCAGCACCAGGUCUGCCCAGCCACGCAUGUGUGUGUCCAAAGGGCUCAUGAGUCCUGGGUGGGGAAAUAGAGUGGCUGAACUGGUCUGGCUCUCCUGCCACAGGCAAAGCUUGGCCCAGAAGCCAGAAGAGAGCCACAGAGUUGAUCAGAGGAGUAGAACAUCCCUCUGCUGAGGAAAGGCUGAGAGGAUUGGGGCUUUGUAGUCUGGAAAAGAGAAGACAGAGAGGGUCUCAUCAAUGCCCAUAAAUACCUCAAGGCUGGGUGUCAGGAGGCUGGCACCAGUCCUGUUUCAGUGGUGCCCAGCCACAGGACAAGGAGUAACAGGCCCAAAUUUGAACAUAAGUAUCAUUUAAAC